rnacentral:rRNA from 1 species
UACGUAGGGUGCAAGCGUUAAUCGGAAUUACUGGGCGUAAAGCGUGCGCAGGCGGUCCGUUAAGACAGAUGUGAAAUCCCCGGGCUUAACCUGGGAACUGCAUUUGUGACUGGCGGACUCGAGUAUGGCAGAGGGGGGUAGAAUUCCACGUGUAGCAGUGAAAUGCGUGAGAGAUGUGGAGGAAUACCCGAUGGCGAAGGCAGCCCCCUGGGCCAAUA